rnacentral:rRNA from 1 species
UAAGGAAUAUUGGUCAAUGGACGCAAGUCUGAACCAGCCAUGCCGCGUGAAGGAUGAAGGUCCUCUGGAUUGUAAACUUCUUUUAUCUGGGACGAAAACGGGAUUUUUAUCUCAAUUGACGGUACCAGAGGAAUAAGCACCGGCUAACUCCGUGCCAGCAGCCGCGGUAAUACGGAGGGUGCGAGCGUUAUCCGGAUUUACUGGGUUUAAAGGGUGCGUAGGUGGGCUUAUAAGUCAGUGGUGAAAUCUCCGAGCUUAACUUGGAAACUGCCGUUGAUACUAUAGGUCUUGAAUUAUCUGGAGGUAAGCGGAAUAUGUCAUGUAGCGGUGAAAUGCUUAGAUAUGACAUAGAACACCAAUUGCGAAGGCAGCUUACUACAUAUAAAUUGACGCUGAGGCACGAAAGCGUGGGGAUCAAAC